rnacentral:rRNA from 1 species
GUGCACCAGGCGCGAAUCUUCGGCAAUGGGGGAAACCCUGACCGAGCGACGCCGCGUGUGGGAUGAAGGCCCUUGGGUUGUAAACCACUGUCAGAGGGGAUGAAAUGCCGGAAAGUUAUCUCUCCGGUUUGACAUAGCCUCAGAGGAAGCACGGGCUAAGUUCGUGCCAGCAGCCGCGGUAAGACGAACUGUGCAAACGUUAUUCGGAAUCACUGGGCUUGAAGAGUGCGUAGGCGGUUUCGUAAGUAGGGUGUGAAAGCCCCCGGCUCAACCGGGGAAUUGCGUCCUGAACUGCGAGGCUGGAGUGAGGUAGGGGUGUGUGGAACUUCCAGUGGAGCGGUGAAAUGUGUUGAUAUUGGAAGGAACGCCGGUGGCGAAAGCGACACACUGGACCUUGUCUGACGCUGAGGCACGAAAGCCAGGGGAGCAAACGGGAUUAGAUACCCCGGUAGU